ensembl:lncRNA
GUUAGUUUAAAGCUAAUGAUGAUUAAGAUGUGUGUUUUACAUCCAGUUUAAGUGUGACCCGAUUAGUCGACUAAUCAAAAAAAUAAUGUGUGAUUAUUUGACUAUUAAAAUAAUCGUUUGUAGCAGUUUUCCACGUGUGUGUUUUGUGAACACCUGUCCGGCUGUGUGCUCACCUGGUCCAGCGUGGUCUGAGUGACAGAGUAAUCCUCGAUCUGGAGCGUGUCCUUGUUUUUGGCGAGGAUGGAGAAGAUGUGUGCGAGCGACGUGAGCGACGAGGGCAGCUGGUACUGCAGCAUGUUGCGGUGUUUCUCUUUCAGCGUGCUGCCGCUCAGCUCGCUCUCGAUGAACUUCAUGACGGGCAGCAGGUCUGGGUCGGGCCCCGCCACCCGCAGGAUGAUGGUGUAGCCGUCCCCGAACCUGAGGCGCAGACACAGCUCAGAGCAGCUCUCUGGACGGCAGCUUCAGGGUGUUUUCAGACCAGAAACCCUCUGAGCUUCUUACCUGUUCUUCAGGUGCUGGACGCUGCCCAAACAUCUAAACCUGCCGUUCACCAUGAUGGCCAUCCUGGUGCACAGAGCCUCACACUCCUCCAUACUGAGGCACACAGACGACAGGAGAAGAACUCAGAUCCGGAUUCAAGAGAAGUUCAGACCUGCCAGAGUUCAGACUCACCUGUGAGAGGAACGCCUCUGAGCACGGCGUACAGCUCCAGGUGCUCUCUGCCCGUCAGCAGCUCGUUGAUGGCGUCAAACUGAGGACAGUAACCCAUGUUCUGGUGGACCUCGUCGAUCUCCCUGAGGAUGCUGCAGACACCAGAGCGACAUUUUAUUGUUAUGUUCAAAUAAAGAUGUAACGAUUCUUUGUGAAUCAGGUUCAAACAUGUUCAUCGGUGCAGAAAAUUAAAAAAUCUGUUUGUCAAAACCUGUGCUUAAAUUUAGAAAUGCAGAGCAGAUGACGUUUCUUCAUGCAGGCUUGUGUCUGUAACAGAGGGGGUGUGUGCUCUUAUCUGCUCCUCCCGCCUAGGAAAUUCUCACAGCUCCUUCGGAUUCAAAAGUUUCACGUAAGUCAGUCCUUCCAGGAUUUCGCAAUGUUGCGGUCGCAACUAUUAACACAAAUUCAAGCAAAGCGUAGAUUUGUUCCUCGCACUGCAACUUUGACCAAUCUACUGUCACAACCCAGCCAGCCAGGCUCCACCUGGCUGUGCUGGCUGGGAACAAUCAUGGAUGACGUCGCAACUUAAUGACUGUUUUUCUGACUUCCCCGAGAGCUGUGCUUGUUUUUCAUGAAACUUUCUUUGCUCUGUCCUUUUUUCUCUGCAAGCUGCGCAGGAAUGCUAAUUUGUGCUGAGUGUUAGCGCGGCAGAGUGCGUGUGCGGCGGCAGGGGGGUGGGGGGUGCUAUAGGGCGUGGAGUGGUUUGUCACGUGGAGCACAACAUGAACCGUGCGUAUGAAAGGAUUUGUGAUCAUUUCAGUAUUAUAUAUAAUUGUUUAUUAGUAUUGAAUCAUUUCUGUUAGGAAAACAGACAGUUUGAUGUGAGGGGCAAAAAGAAAACAUACUUAAAAUAUCUUUAUUUUAUCGUGUUGAGAAAAAAAUAAUUAAUUGGGAAAAAUCGAAUCAUGGCUCGACUGAAUCGUUCCAUGCCUAUGUUCAAACCAAGUAUUUGAUAUGUGUUCUUGAGUGUGUGUUAAGCCCAUGAUGUUCACACUGGACAAGCAGGGAGGGACUCCUCCUGCACGUUAUAGCCUGAAAACAGUGGAAGAAAGUUGCUUAGCCACGCAAGAUGUGAAUGUAGCUCAGGUGCUGAGCUCAGCAAACAUGUGUGUUCUCUGUGUGCUAAUCCAGACAAUCCCAGAUGAUCACAAAUAAGAGUUUGCCGGGUUUAGGUCUCACUGGAACCGCUGUGGUCGUGAGAUGGUCAGGACACAAAGCCUGAAUUUCCAUAAAGAGGAGACAGGAAAUGAUGAAGAAGAAUUUGCUCCACUGAACGUGAAGCGGAGGGCAGAGACUCCGUCGAUCCUGUGACCUGGAAACAGCAGAACUGCUCCUUUGUACCUCUGCGAACACGGAUCUGGGUUUUGCAGGUUACAUUUUGAGGGUAAUCCAGAAUUAGUCUGCAGAAAGCGGGUCAGAGUGAAACCAACACAACAAGAAUGUUCAGAGGAGAGCUGAGGCUCCUGUGAUGCUGCAGGAAACUGUCCUCGACAGAUUUUAUGACCUGAGGUCAGUCUGUAGACAUCCUGAGGUCAUGUGACCUAUUAGUUAGUUUUGGGCUGAUUUGAAGCACCAAACCUCCUUUCUGUGGAGCCAACAGUCCCAGCUGGAAGAUGUUUAAAUGCUCAUUACUGCCAGAUCCCUGUUUCAGUGCAAAACUGAUCCUUAGCUUGAAAGACAGUUAUAAGUUUAAAAAGAAAGUAACAGAGACCUUACAUCAUGUGUGUCAAGGUCAAGGCCCAGGGGGCCGGAUCCGGCCCUCCAGAUCAUUUUAUUUUAUUGUUAUUAAUGGACUGAUGUUGUCUUGUGCUCAUUUCUAACUUGUAUAAUUUUGACAAAAUAUAUUUUUAUGGAGAGUAAAAUAUUGAAAGUUAUUUAAGAUUUAAGUUGAUUUAUUCUGGAAUAAAAUUCCUGUCUUUUUAUUACUAAUAAUUAUGUUAAAAAGUUACAGUUUUAAAGUUAUUAUUAAGAUUGUUUAGGCUACUUUGGAGUUUAGCUCAUAUUUCAGCUACAUGCUAGCUGUUUUUGCUAAUUUAGGCUAGUUUUUUAAAAGUUUUUCUAGGUUGUUUGGGAGUUUAGACUUUUUUUUUUCAGCUUUUUGAGCUAUUUUGGAGUUUAGCUAAUAUUUCAGCGACAUGUUAGCUUUUUUGGGUAAUUUAGGUGCUUUUUAAAAUGUUUUUUAGGCUUUUUUUGUAGUUGGGCUAAUAUCUACAAGGCUAGUUGUUUUUGCUAAUUUAGCAUUUUUUUAGCUAUUUUUUUCAGCAACAUGUUAUCUGUUUUGGGUAACCUAAGUUUGUUUUUAUUUUAUAGGCUAAUUUGGCUAAUGAUAUAUUUCUUGUUCAUAGUUAUGAUAAAAAGUUACGGUUUUAAAGUUGUAAAGAUGUAGUUUUCAAUAAAUGUUCAUCCCGCGAUCUAAGGUGUGUUUUGGAUUUUGGCCCCUUAAAAGGUACGAUAGAGUUUGACCCUCCUGCCUUACGUAUUAGAUAAAUGUGUGGGAGAAAAUAACCAAUGAGGACAUUUGCAUAUUUCUGCUGUGAUUUGGUUGUUUUUCAUUGAAAUGAAUGGAAUUUUGGUCACCCAGAGGUUUCAUCCUCACCUUUUUCCAGCCAGAAGGCCUCCCCACUGGUCACCAUGGUGUCUCCAGUCAGCAUCUUGAACGUUGUUGUUUUUCCGGCUCCAUUUACCCCGAGCAGGCCGAAACACUAAGCGUGCACACAGAAACACACACAGGUUGGACUCCGACAGCCUUCUUUCUCAUGACACUUCCAGAAACCUCACGUCUGCAGGAGUCCAUCUCACCUCUCCAGGUGGAAUCCCGACACAAAGUCGAUCGACGGCCGGCUUCUGCUUCCUCUUAAACACCUGCAAGAAACAAAUGUGGUUGACCUUCAACAACUGCAGCAGCAUGAGGCAGAGCUUGCUCAGACUCCGUUCAGUACCUUAG